rnacentral:rRNA from 1 species
CCUACGGGUGGCAGCAGUGGGGAAUAUUGGGCAAUGGGCGCAAGCCUGACCCAGCACCGCCGCGUGAAGGAAGAAGGCUUUCGGGUUGUAAACUUCUUUUAUCAGGGACGAAGCCAGUGACGGUCCCUGAUGACUAAGCCACGGCUAACUACGUGCCAGCAGCCGCGGUAAUACGUAGGUGGCAAGCGUUAUCCGGAUUUACUGGUUGUAAAGGGCGUGUAGGCGGGAGUGCAAGUCAGAUGUGAAAACUAUGGGCUCAACCCAUAGCCUGCAUUUGAAACUGUACUUCUUGAGUGCUGGAGAGGCAAUCGGAAUUCCGGGUGGAGCGGUGAAAUGCGUAGAGAUACGGAGGAACACCAGUGGCGAAGGCGGAUUGCUGGACAGUAACUGACGCUGAGGCGCGAAAGCGUGGGGAGCAAACAGGAUUAGAUACCCUGGUAGUC